AUGUAAGUUUUUGCGUGAAUUUUUAUUUAUUUUAAUAAUUUAUAAAUGUAUAAAAAUAUUAUAUUCUCAGUAAUUAAUUUUAUAAAUCAAGGAAACUUGGAAUUAGUAAUUUUUAUUUAGUAUUGGCUAAAUUUGUGCCAGCAGCCGCGGUUAUACAAAUGAUGCAAAUAAAAUUAUUUUGGUAUGAGUUAAAUUUUAUUUUAUAAAAUAAAUAUAAAUUUAUUAGGUGAAAUUUUAAAUUUAUGAAAUUUUAUAUUUAUGUUGUUGAAGCUUGUAAAUUUUAUUUAAAAACUAGGAUUAGAUACCCUAUUAUUUAAAAUGUAAAUUAAUAUACUAAGGUAGAAGUAGUUAUGUUCUUGAAACUUAAAAAAUUUGGCGGUAUUUUAGUCUAUACAGAGGAACCUGUCCUGUAAUUGAUAUUCCACGAUGUACCUCACUUAAGUUUGUUUUUCAGUUUAUAUACCGUCGUUAUCAGAAUAUUUUACUAGAAUAAUAAUUUUCUGUAAUUUUUAUAAAGAUAUAAAUCAGAUCAAGGUGUAGCUUGUAUUUAAGUAGAGAUGGGUUACAAUAAAAAUAUUUAUAUGAAUUUAAAUUUGAAAUAUUUAAUGAAAGUGGAUUUGAUAGUAAAACUUUAAAGAUUAAAGGUUUGAUUUUAGCUCUAAAAUAUGCACACAUCGCCCGUCGCUCUUACUAUUAAGGUAAGAUAAGUCGUAACAUAGUAGAUGUA
rnacentral:rRNA from 1 species